UGCAGUAACAACUGCACAGUCAGGGGCAUAUGUAGACAUGUUCCUAAAGUAGAAAAUGCUGUACAGCUCACUUACCUUUUCAAUGAAAAUUUGCUGUUAUGUUAAAAAGAAUCCUUCUGUAAAUGUUAUCAGCAUUUGGAAGCUUGCAAAACUACAAUGAAAAAUUAAGAUGAAUUUGCUGGUUUGCAGAUAAUUGGAAUGCAGAGCAACAAUGUGAGUGGGCCCAUUGCACCCCAUAGGAAGUUAAAGACAAGACUAUAUUUUCUUUUAGCCCCUCUCCCCCUAGUCACUGAAAAUCCCAAAUAUAAUCUACUUAAAAAUACAAUAAUCUUAAAAAUAGCAGCUCCUGUUGCUGCUCUGAGGGGUGAAGAGAGUGGGGUGGGGUGUGGAGUCUCACUUCUCCUAUUGCAGUUUUUCUGUAGCCACAGCACUAAGGACAUCCUGAUCCCCAGCUCAUUUGCAGUGGUCCUCAGAGCUGUUAUUUUCCUUGCACUUCUUACACUUCAAGCUGGAGGUGCCCCAUCUUUCCCGUAGCAACAAGAACUUGGGGUUAUCUUUGACUUUUCCCACUGUAGGGUUCAGUGCUAAGGGAGAAAGGAGGAGGCAUAGGCUUUCCAGAAUACUACUGCAGAUAGAGAACAGGGGAGUAGUGGUGCAUUUGGCAGCAGCUUUUCUCAAGACCAUCCAGCCCUCUGAGAGGCUACCAGCUUGUUCCUCCCAUUGCUUCCACCAAAACUCCUGGAAAUAAUGAAACCCUUUGUCCAUGUCCAAUUCUUAGAGCAGGAGCAGGAGCAGCCAUUUGUAAAUUGAUUAGGGCUUUAUCGGGUGCCAGGGCAGGACAAGCGAUCAUCUUGUUUUCCUGCCAUGUCCUGUGGAACAUUUCUCAUCUUCAGCACUGGUUCCACUCCAUCACUUGCUGGUCUGCUAACCUCACUAAUCUACACCCAUUUGUCAAUGCAAAUUAGCAUGGCUCUGCUGUGCGUGGCUUUUUGAGGCCACCUGUAUUUACAAUGCAUAAUAGUAUGUCUUUAGGAACAGCUCCUCUUUGGGCUUAAAAAAUGUGAAGCGGAUGUAUAUGGUUCUAUCCCAGAUAAACCUCAUAUGAGACCCACUCUAUUACACACAGAUCCUCAGGGCUCCAUACAAUUUAAUUAUAAAGCACCGAAAUAUAAACUGACAAAAGUGACUAAUGAAAGAAGGAAAUAAUGAAUUGAAGUUUAUUUUAUGAAAAUGGAAUGUUUUCUCCCCCUCAGGGUAAACCUUACAAUGAGGCAGCCCAGCACUUGCACAGCAAUAGAAUAAUGGAAAACAGGAACAGCAUGCUGACGCUCCAAAUCAUAAGUUACCCUGGAAGCAAAAUAGGAAUUUUCACUCAGGCCAGACAUCUUACUUUAUGGUCUGCAGCCAUACCGUUUUGGGCCAAGAUCUUAUCCAAUGUCACAAACUAAACUGUAUCCAGAAUGGUCAAUACAUAAACCCUUCCAGUGCAAGACAAGAAGUAUUGUUAAUGAAUAGCUCCACUGGAAAACAACCUCCUGAGAAUCUUUGGUUGACAAGAUCUUAUUUUACCUUUAUACCCUAAAAAGAAGAAACUCACUUUUGAUUUCUAGAAGGUAGCACCAACCACAGCAAGUCAUUUUUGUCUGUUCAAAAAACAUAAUAAUAUAAAAAUUAUACCUUUCAUUUCAGUGGGACUUUUCCUCUGAGGUUUUCAAAGCUCCUGAGAAAAAUUAAACCAAGAUUUCAAAAGAUCGGCACUUAAAUUUAAGUUUCCAGGAUCUGAUUUCGAUUCCUAAAGAAAUCAGCUGAUUGUCAAAAGCACAAAAUACACAGCUUUACUCAUCUGGCAUUAUUGGGAAGUGGUGAGGGCUCAACACUUUUGAAUUUUAAACUGCAAUUUUUUAGGAGCCAAAUGUAUACUUUUAAGAUGAACUGCAAGCUGCUUUAAAAAAAAUAGAAAUCCAUUUUCAGCAUAAGGGCAUCAUGCAUUCUGAAAUCUUUGGAAAAGUAGCUAUUUAACAUAGAGUUAUUUGGGGGGGAAAGUACCAUUUAUUUAAUUUCUUGAUAAAUAAAACACUCUUAGUUUCCCCUCAUACUCUAAACAUAUUCCAUACAUUGCUUACAUAUUAAGUUGUUAUCGUUUCUAUCUAUAGCAAGCACAAAGAUCAUUUUCAUAGGUCCUUUAUAGAAUACAGAAGGCAACUUUAUUAUGGAUGAUUCAGAGAAGGCUGAAGUAUUUAAUGCCUUUUGUACUUCAGUCUUCACAAAUGGGGGCAGCUAACAGAUAAGUGCAGUUGGCAGCAAAGAUAGGGAAAGAGAUAAAUAGCCCAGAGUAAUAACAGAACAGGUUAGGGCUUCCUUAGAGAAGUUAGAGGCUUUCAAGUUGGCAGGGCCAGAUGGGAUGCAUCCUAAGGUACAGAAGGAACUGGCUGUGGUAAUUUUGGUGCUA